CGUUUUUUUUUUUUUAAUUGGGUUUCCUGUUGCUAGCAGCUCAGGCCAUUCCAAAAUGGUCUGAGAGGCCAUGUUACAAAUAUCAUCGUGAGAAAGCCAGGCUGUGGAGGGGAGGUGGAUCCCAGUCUCAGGAACGGCCACUGGAAAGAGCCAGGAAGAAGAGCUCUUUUUUAAAUAAGAUCUCCGGGGUAUCUGGGUGGCUCAGUUGGUUGAGCAUCAGACUUCAGCUCAGGUCAUGAUCUCACGGUCUGUGAGUUCGAGCCCCACGUCGGGCUCUGUGCUCAGCUCAGAGCCUGGAGCCUGCUUCGGAUUCUGUGUUUCUCCCCCUCUCUGCCCCUCCCCCACUCGUGCUCUGUCUCUCUUGCUCUCAAAAAUAAACAUUAAAAAAAUUUUUCAAGUCAGAUCUCCUGGGCAGCCUGUGUGCAUGGUGGAUGACUACCUCUCCUCCCCAGGGGCUCGAACACCAAAAGUCCCUUCUGAAGAGGGCUUUCUGGAUCAUCCCAACCCCAAUUUCUUGAUCUUCAACGAAUCAAGGAAAGAGAGAAUGAGGAAGGAACAACAGAGACAGAGAGGCCACCGCUCACACCGCAAACUCACGGGAAGGAUUCCGCACUGCCAGUGACACCAAGCCAAGGUUCAAGAGACUUCUAGCGGCACCUCUCUUGGCGCCCUGGCUGAUACACCAGGCAAUCAACCAUGUCUCCAUUUUUGCAUUAGCCACUGAAAAUGCUCAGAACUGAUUUUGCAUCUUUCCUACGAGCCACAGGACCUUUGGCCAAGUCACUUAAACUCCAUGAGCCUAAAUCUCCGGGUGGGGUUAAUUACCACCUGUCUCUUAGGGUAGCUGUGGAAAUAAAAUGAAAGAUUAUGAUAUAAUUUAUUAAGCA
rnacentral:lncRNA from 1 species